rnacentral:rRNA from 1 species
CCUACGGGGGGCAGCAGUGGGGAAUCUUGCGCAAUGGGCGAAAGCCUGACGCAGCCAUGCCGCGUGAAUGAUGAAGGUCUUAGGAUUGUAAAAUUCUUUCACCGGGGACGAUAAUGACGGUACCCGGAGAAGAAGCCCCGGCUAACUUCGUGCCAGCAGCCGCGGUAAUACGAAGGGGGCUAGCGUUGCUCGGAAUUACUGGGCGUAAAGGGAGCGUAGGCGGACUGUUAAGUUAGAGGUGAAAGCCCAGGGCUCAACCUUGGAAUUGCCUUUGAUACUGGCAGUCUUGAGUACGGAAGAGGUAUGUGGAACUCCGAGUGUAGCGGUGAAAUGCGUAGAUAUUAGGAAGAACACCAGUGGCGAAGGCGGCUUUCUGGACUGUAACUGACGCUGAGGCACGAAAGCGUGGGGAGCGAACAGGAUUAGAUACCCCAGUAGUC